rnacentral:lncRNA from 1 species
CUUUACUUCCCGCGCGCGGUCAAUUAGAAAACGUCUAGACAUCCAGCUAUAUAAAAUUAUUUGUUGAAGAAAGCGGAAUAACGUGAGAAAUAUGGAUAACUCUUCGGAAUCAAUACAAUCUACUUCUAACAAGCGGUCAAGCCCGGACCUAAGUACAAACUCGUCAUCUCACCAAAAGCAUAGUAAAAGCUAUUGGCAAGUAGGAAAACACCUGAAAAGUUCUUUGUCUUACAUGUACGAAAACAAACUGUGGACCGAUGUUGUUUUCCGAUGUAAGAAAAGUUUGGAUGACAAUACUACGGAUCGAGUUCUGGCACACAGAAACAUUUUAGCUGCAAGAAGCCCUGUUUUUUGAAGUUAUGUUAUACGGAACGUUUGCCAGGGAUGAAAUUGAACUCAAUGAUGUCGAGCCUGAAAUAUUCGAUCUUGUUUUAAGGUUUGUGUAUACUAAUGAAACUCCCCUCAGUAAU